GUGAGGAAUUUUCCGCAAUGGGCGAAAGCCUGACGGAGCAAUGCCGCGUGAAGGAUGAAGGCCUAUGGGUUGUAAACUUCUUUUCUCAGAAAAGAAUUAUGACGGUAUCUGAGGAAUAAGCAGCGGCUAACUCUGUGCCAGCAGCCGCGGUAAGACAGAGGAUGCAAGCGUUAUCCGGAAUGAUUGGGCGUAAAGCGUCUGUAGGUUGUUUAAACAGUAUUCUGUCAAAGAUUAGGGCUUAACCCUAGAUAGGCAGAAUAAACUUUUAAGCUAGAGUGUGGUAGAGGCAGAGGGAAUUCCCGGUGGAGCGGUGAAAUGCGUUGAUAGCGGGAGGAACACCAAAGGCGAAGGCACUCUGCUGGGCCAAUACUAACACUGAGAGACGAAAGCGAGGGGAGCAAAUGGGAUUAGAAACCCGGGUAGUCC
rnacentral:rRNA from 1 species